rnacentral:lncRNA from 1 species
AUUCUGGAUUCUAGAGGACCAGGGCCAAAGCAGGCAUCUGCGAGGUGGUGUAGGGAGCCCUCACCUGCCCUCUGUCUGGCUGGCAUCUACUGGAAUGCCCAUUGUUCUGUUAAGCCUUCAGUCACUGGACGUGUAGGGGGCCCCCGCCUUACCCUGCGUUUGUCUUGGCAAGGCCUCUUUAGGUGUUGCACCUGCACCCUCUUUUCCUACCUGGGACCCCAGGGCCCUUCCUCUGCCCUGUGCCCUGCUGGGUGACUCUGCACAGCUGCCUGGGAUUGAGUGAAUCACGUAGCUUGGCCCCCUCGCUGAGGUUCGGGUACCUCCACGCGGGGCAGUCAGCCCUGUGCUUGGAGCUUCCAAACCGAUCCGGAAAUUUUCAUGUUUCCUUCUUCCUUGGAGGUCUUCCUGUUGGAUGGGUUGGUGUCAGGAAGCCUCGUGUCACCAUGUGUCCCCGGCUCCCCAGGGUUAUUUACCAGAAUCUGCGCCCUUCCCAACAGGGUAUAGACUUUGAAGCCCCCCUCCCCCCCAGUUUUUUUCUCUAUUUUGAUAUCCCUUCUCUGAAGCAAGAAACACAGAGUAGCCUGUCACAGUGAUUAGAGCAAGAGCCACAGAUACAAGGAAACCUGGAGGAAAAUCCACCCGUCCUAUUAUCAAUGCUUAGCCUGCUGGUGACUUGGGAACUGUUUGGGGACAGGGAACUGUAUUUAAUGCAUCCUCAUCCCGCCCUACAGUAACUGACAUAGUGCUUAUGCUGAAAAGGCACUAAAUACAUAGUUGUUGGGCAAGAAAAUAAAUAAUAGGUUCCUUUUUCUGAGUCUGUAUUUGCAGUGUCACAUGCAUGGUUUCUCAUCUCAUUGAUACUAAGAGAUAGUCAUCUGUCUCUAUAUGCUAGGAAGGAAAAAAAAACCUCAAGAAGUCAGCUGCAUAAAAUCAACUGCAUACGUGAGACUAAUGAUUUGACGGUCAGACAGUGCUGUAUUCAUUCAGCCUCUUGGAUGAGGACUUGCCGUGGGCCAGGCACCGGGGUGGGGCGUUGGGAGGUAUUUGCGGAUGAGAGCUUCAAGGGCUCUGGUGGGGUUGCGAGGAAGCAGAUGACGAAGACUUGCUCAGAGAAACAGGAUGACCUUAGAAGUAGACAAGUGCUGUGGAGACGACCGCAGCCGUAAGUGUAUAGUUACGCAGAAGAGAGGCUCCCAGGGGAGUCCGGGGGGAUGCUUGUGCUGAGAUCUGAAAAGAGGGGUUGGAGUAACCGGGCCAAGAAGGCGUGCAAGAUGAGGCGGUGGGGCAGGGCGUUUGAGGCAGAGGGAGGAACGUGUGCAAUGGCCCUGUGGCAGAGAGAUGCACCCUACGUGUACUUGUGUGCAGAGAGUGAGGGGUUGCGAACGUGAGCAGAUGUUUGUCAGCUGCCCGUUACGUGCCAGGCACACGCAGGGGGCGCAGUGGUGAACAUGAUGGAUGUGAUCCCUGCCCUCGUGGAGUUCACGGCUGUCAUCCGAGGGCAGGCUCUUCGUGCCUUCACGGCAAGCUAAUGUCUUGCUAAAUGUAAUCUCUUCCUUUGGGGAAAAAAAAAAAAGGCCCAAAAGGCAGCAUUUCUUGGUGUGUGUUGUCUUCCGAUGAUGUGUUCCUGCUGAGCUUGAUACGUUCCAGUUGGGUAAGUCAGGAGGUUGAGACUGAAGGGGCCAGUGCACGCGUGUACGGUGUUGAUGGUAGUUAGUCUGUUGAUUGGUUUCACUCCCACCCGCUGACAGGUCUUAAUGAAAACAUGGCAUUUGCAGAGGCUGUCGGGAGGUAGGAUAGAUCUGAGCCAUGUCUGAGUUCACAGAACACCAGCUGCCAUGAACAGAUAAACACUUAACAUUUCAGUGGCUUGUUAAUUAUUAUACGUAUUUCUCACCGGAUGUCCCUGGUGAGCAGAUGGAGCUCCUUUAAGCGGUGCUCCAGGAUCCCAGGUCCCUUCCACCUUGUGGCUCUGUCUUCGUCAACGUGGAGCAUCCAAGGUCACACAGAAGGAAAGAACAUGGCAAAUGAUGCCUGGGAGGUUUUCACGCGCCAGGCCUGAAAUGGAGAACGUCACUUCCGCCCGUUCCCCUGGUCGGAGCUCAGUCACAGGGUCACACUGACUGCCAGCGAGCUUGGGGAGUGUCGUCUAGGUGUGAGCCCCAGAAGAAAGGGAAACUCUUGAAUGACAAAUCAGUCUCUACCACCACCUGUGAUGUAAUUUUUCCUGGUACCUUUCGUACUUGGAUUCACAUUAUUCUGUGGCCUUAGUCUACUUUUUCUUCAAAAAAUGCUGAAGUUGGAAGUACUUGAACCUUUUCUGUGUUGAUACAUAUUUUAAAUGGUGACACCCUUAUCAAUGGUUUACUACCUUUACUUCCUCUUGUCUUCUUUCUUCCUUCCUUUCUCUGUCCCUUCUGGCUUCCUUCCUUCUUCCUUGGCUCCCUUCCUCCCUGUGGUGAGAGUUGGGAACUUCCAUUAAUUGUGAUUUUGAAUUUACAGGUUUGAAUCUAGGUGGAUGGCCUGUCAUGUAUGUGUCCCUCUAAAAAUGCCAAAGGAUGUUUCAUCAAAAUUUAGAAACCACUUACCUGCCCUUGAGGGGAAUUAGAGGAGUACAGGUAGCUUUGGAGAGCAUCAGAUCAUUUAGUUUUAGGGCCACUUUAUCCUGAACACAGGAAGGAGAGGAUGGAGUUGGGGCUCUACCUGACUCACACCCCAAUAUCGGUCUCCAUCCUUAAUGACCACUGGGGACGGGGAGAGAUGGGGCGACUGGUUUUGAGAGCUGUUCUUUUGCUGCCUGUUCAUACAGUGCUGUGAAACGGGAAAGGCGUCAGGGACUCUGAGCGUGGAUCCCCCUCACUGCCCCGUGGCCCACAGGGAACCAGCCACAGGCUGGGGCUGGCUUCAGAUGGCUGGACAGGUGGCCUUGUAAUGAAAACCUUUCCAUUCUAACUGUGGGCCUUGUUUUGCCAGGGAUCCGAGGUGAAGAAAAUGUUCUAGUUUUAUGCCUCUACCAGCUGCUUUGAAAGCUUCCUCGCAGCUGUCCCCAAACACAGCAGACAGCCGCCUCUCUACUUUCAAAAUCUUGGGGGCUUAGUGUUAUUUGAGAGGGGAUAAGCGGGCACAGAGAUGAGGGAAGAUUUCUUCCUGAUCUCAAAAGGUCGGAGCCUUUUUGAAGAUUGAAAGAGCACAAAAGAAAGUCCAGAGUGCGUGCGUUUCCUCUGUAGUCCAUCUCUGCGAGGUCAGGGCUGUUAUUAGAGCUCAUGCUGUGGGUGAGGGCGCUGAGGUGUACAGGAUUUAAGUAGCUCGAUGGUGGCCAUGAGGUUAAGCAUCAGAGUCAGGAUUCAAACCCAAGGUGUUGUGACUCCAGGCUCAGACUCCGGUAACCUCUGCUCUUCAGAAUGUCCAGAAUUCAGGUCCAGGAUGUAAUUUCUCUCCAUCUACCUCUACCUUCCCUCUUCCUCCAGCCGGGUUCACGGGCCCUCCCCCCUUGCAGGUGCUCACGCCCCAAACCUGGGAGUCAUCCUCAGUUUGUCCUAAUCCCAUCCCCCCCAGUAGAAUUUACGAGGAAAGGCAACGGGUUGUGUUAAGAGUCUGUAUCCAGAAGCUGAGCACAUGUCACCAUUUCCAGCGCUACCAAUACUUUAGUCAAAGCCGUGUGUCUUCCGUUCUCUGCUGUGUGGUAGCCUUGACCCUGACCUCUCUGUUCUAGUCCUGCUCUCCUCUUCUCUUGCCGUCACACUGGCCAGAGGGACCCAGCCCUGGAGGCAGCUCCUCUCUGCAAGAUCAUCCUGCACCGAGCUUCCUUCCCUUUCGUUGGCCUGGCCUAGGUAGCUGCGUUCAUCUGUGAGGUCUGAGCUGGCUCAGCUCCUGGUCUGGAUUCCAGCCCCCAGAAAGGGGGUCAGAGAGGAAACCCUGGCAGGCAGCUUUGCUUUAACCAAAUGACACAGAAUUUGUACCCAUCAUUUCCACUCGCGUUUCACUGGUAAGUAGAGAGUCACGUGGCCAGCCUUUCUCCAGGGGAGUCUAGGAACUGUGCUCUCGGAACAGAUGGCCAGGUUUCCAGGUCCCCGAGAAGAGAGUGGAUUUGGAGCAUAACCAACAGUGGGCCCGAGUCCAAGAGGGGAAGUGGGUGGAGCAGUGAGCAGGCUGUUCGGGACCCUUAGGUGAGUGUUGACGAUAGUGUGGCCUGGGGAACAGGCAGUGGAGACGGAGGGAGAUGUGCCGUGUGUUUUGGAGGUAGAAUUGGGGGCGGGGGGGGGAUAGGGUUGUGGAGAAAGUAGGACUCGAGGCUGAUUCCUGGGGAGUUGUGUCUGGAGAGGCACAGGGAGGCCAGUUUCUGAGCCGAGGAUGCGAUCCAGAGUGGCCAUCUGGGGACCAGUGGGUGAGGCCACCCCUUGGAAGGCCCAUGUCCUGGUGGAAGCCACCCUGGUAGGCUGGCCCGGCUCAGAGGAGGCAUCUGAGGGGCAGUCUGCCGGGCGAGUCAAAUGCAUUUUACCUUGCGGUGCCUGAGAGGAAUGAGUCGCGCAGCCUGUGUUUUGUGCCUUGAUGGGCCGAGGUGCCGGCAAGGUUGAGGCUGAUGCGAAGAAGCCAGGAGCCAUUGAGCCCAAGCCGCCUGUGGUCGCAGGCCGGGUAGGUCUGCGUGGCUGCCUUCAGGCUGGGGGAAGGGAGGAGCUGGGUGGAGGUCUGUAUCUGUCGGCACCUGGCCAGCAUAGGUCAUGCUCCCAGCAUCUGGAUGCCCCUUGACCUUGAGGCCUCUCAAGUGUUUUUCUGUCUCCUAUUUGCCGGAGUUGCAGCUGGUCCUAAGGAAAUGGGUUUGCCAUUAGAGCAGUCGAGAAACGGCGGGUCUGUAAGGGGGACUCUGUCACCCAUCCGGGUGGUUAGGAGGCCUGCCCUGGCCAUUCUGAGGGACGCUGGGCAGCGGGGGAGGGGGUGCCAGGCUCGGAGGACAGACCUACCGUAAAGCUGAUGGAUUCUGAAAGAAGCAACCCAGCCAGGUUGCUUCUAACCUGUUGGAGGUGAGCCCAGCUGGUUCUGCCCCCUCUGAGAGUCUGCCGGGGCCGGUGGUAGCUGUGAUAAAUGUCAGCUGUUGCCAAACAUCGUUGUUGAUUCAUUUCUCAGUCCCUCCCUAUUGGGCCGUGAACAUUCCCCCCCCUUUCUAUUUCACGACUCAGCGAGUGGAAGUUGAGCACCUGGUACAGAGUGCCACCACGGUCAGGGUGUGCCACCUUGCUGGUGACUAACGACACUGGUGUUCAGCUCACAUAGUAGCUCUUGUGGGGUCUCCAGGGCUGAGUGUCUGCCCGAUGUGGUGAAGGCAGAGCUGGACCCACUGCUGCCUGGCGGCUCUGAGCCCAGGGGGCUCCCUCAGACCCACCGCCUGGGUCACCCAUCUUAAAUGCCCCCAGGACCGGCCAGGCUUGGUGGCUUGGUGUUCACCUCCCAGCAGCAGAGCCUGCCUCAAGGGCUAACUUGGCCACACGAGGAGGAGGAAGCAGCGUUGAUCUUCUGGGAGUCGCAUCCUCAGGGCAGGAACUGAGCCGCUUUUGGGGAACAUGAAAUCAAAGGAGAGGGGAAGUGAGACUGGGUGCGAUGUUGGGUCUAACCUGUUCCGGAUGAAAACCUUUUGAGAUUUAUCUUUGUCACUGACCUUUGAAUAGAGCAAAAUUCUCCAGCCCACGAGUGGCAGGGCCUCCUGGGUAAAUGCUGACCAGGACUUCUUAUCCUGGUCGCAUUUCCGUGGAGUCACCAAAAACUUGUCUCAUCACAGCUCUGCCUCCUCCCCGAGUCACAGGUCAGUUGCUGAGGUCCGACCUUCUUUGCCGUUGGCUGAAUUGAAAGCAGUGUCUUCUGGAGUUUUCCUUGUGGCUCAGGGGGUUGAGAACCCGACUAGUAUCCAUGAGGGCGAGGGUUCGGUCCCUGGCCUUGCUCGGUGGGUUAAGGAUCCAGUGUUGCCCUGAGCUGUGGUGUAGGUUGCAGACGCAACUUGGAUCUGGUGUUGUGUGGCUUGGUGUGGGGCGGUGACAUAGGCUAGCAGCUGCGGCUCUGAUUCGAUCCCUAGCCUGGGAACUUCCACAUGCUGUAGGCGA